UACGAAGGGGGGCUAGCGUUGCUCGGAAUUACUGGGCGUAAAGGGCGCGUAGGCGGAUAGUUUAGUCAGAGGUGAAAGCCCAGGGCUCAACCUUGGAACUGCCUUUGAUACUGGCUAUCUUGAAUUCGGGAGAGGUGAGUGGAAUGCCGAGUGUAGAGGUGAAAUUCGUAGAUAUUCGGAAGAACACCAGUGGCGAAGGCGACUCACUGGACACAUAUUGACGCUGAGGUGCGAAAGCGUGGGGAGCAAACAGGAUUGAG
rnacentral:rRNA from 1 species